rnacentral:rRNA from 1 species
GAAGGGAACGCGGGGAACUGAAACAUCUAAGUACCCGUAGGAAGAGAAAACAACAGUGAUUUUCCUAGUAGCGGCGAGCGAACGGGAAAGAGGCCAAACCGCCGGUUUACCGACGGGGUUGCGGACUGUCAUAACGUGAUGAGGUUAUGCUAUCUGAAUAGAUCUGGAAAGUUCAACCGAAGAAGGUAAGAGUCCUGUAAGAGAAAGCAGAAGACACACAGACAGCACCAGAGUAGGGCCGGACACGUGGAACCCGGUCUGAAGCAGGGGGGACCACCCUCCAAGCCUAAAUACUACCCAGUGACCGAUAGCGAAUAGUACCGUGAGGGAAAGGUGAAAAGAACCCCGGGAGGGGAGUGAAAUAGAAACUGAAACCUGAUGCUUACAAGCAAAGGGAGCGCAAGUGACCUUGUACUUUUUGUAGAACGGGCCAACGAGUUAUGGUAUGCAGCGAGGUUAAGGAUCUGGAGGUCCGGAGCCGUAGAGAAAUCGAGUCUCAAUAGGGCGAAAGUUGCAUGCUGUAGACCCGAAACCGGGUGACCUAUCCAUGUCCAGGUUGAAGUAACUGUAAAAGGUUAUGGAGGACCGAACCUAUAUCUGUUGAAAAAGGUUAGGAUGAGGUGUGGAUAGCGGUGAAAUUCCAAUCGAACUCGGAUAUAGCUGGUUCUCCUCGAAAUAGCUUUAGGGCUAGCCUCAAGGUAGAGAUUGCUGGGGGUAGAGCACUGACUGUUCGCGGGGCCUUCACCGGUUACCAACAACUAUCAAACUCCGAAUACCAGCCAAUCAUACUUGGGAGUCAGACUAUGAGAGAUAAGUUCCAUGGUCGAAAGGGAAACAGCCCAGAUCAACAGCUAAGGUCCCUAAGAAUAGGUUAAGUGGAAAACGAUGUGGGGUUGCACAAACAGCUAGGAUGUUGGCUUAGAAGCAGCCAUUCAUUCAAAGAGUGCGUAAUAGCUCACUAGUCGAGUGACCCUGCGCGGAAGAUAAACGGGGCUCAAACCUAUCACCGAAGCUUUGGGAUGCAUAUGCAUCGGUAGAGGAGCAUCGUAUAUGGGCAGAAGGUGAGCCGUAAGACUUGCUGGACUGUAUACGAGAGAGAAUGUUGGCAUGAGUAGCGUAAGGCAGGUGAGAAUCCUGUCCGCCGAAAAUCUAAGGUUUCCUGAGGAAGGUUCGUCCUCUCAGGGUUAGUCGGGACCUAAGCCGAGAGCGAAAGCUGUAGGCGAUGGACAACAGGUAGAGAUUCCUGUACCACCAAGGUUUGUAUGAAUGAAGUGGGGACGCAGAAGGAUAAGUCGAGCGCGCCGUUGGUUGAGCGCGUCCAAGCAGUGAGGUGUGUGUGUAGGUAAAUCCGCACACUGUAACAUUGAGCUGUGAAGGGGAGGCGAAUGAGCUGAAGCGACUGAUUUCACGCUGCCAAGAAAAGCCGCUAAUUAGAACCGAGGUGCCCGUACCGCAAACCGACACAGGUAGAUGAGGAGAGAAUCCUAAGGUGAGCGAGCGAACUAUUGUUAAGGAACUCGGCAAAAUAACCCCGUAACUUCGGGAGAAGGGGUGCCCUCUUAUGGAGGGCCGCAGUGAAGAGGUUCAGGCAACUGUUUACCAAAAACACAGGUCUCUGCUAAAUCGAAAGAUGAAGUAUAGGGGCUGACGCCUGCCCGGUGCUGGAAGGUUAAGGGGAAGUGUUAGGGCAACCGAAGCACCGAACUUAAGCCCCAGUAAACGGCGGCCGUAACUAUAACGGUCCUAAGGUAGCGAAAUUCCUUGUCGGGUAAGUUCCGACCCGCACGAAA